rnacentral:rRNA from 1 species
ACUCCUACGGGAGGCAGCAGUGGGGAAUAUUGCACAAUGGGGAAACCCUGAUGCAGCCAUGCCGCGUGUGUGAAGAAGGCCUUCGGUUGUAAAGCACUUUCAGUAGGGAGGAAGGUAGUGUAGUUAACACCUGCAUUAUUUGACGUUACCUACAGAAGAAGCACCGGCUAACUCCGUGCCAGCAGCCGCGGUAAUACGGAGGGGUGCGAGCGUUAAUCGGAAUUACUGGGCGUAAAGCGCAUGCAGGCGGCCUGUUAAGUCAGAUGUGAAAGCCCGGGGGCUUAACCUCGGAAUUGCAUUUGAAACUGGCAGGCUAGAGUCUUGUAGAGGGGGUAGAAUUUCAGGUGUAGCGGUGAAAUGCGUAGAGAUCUGAAGGAAUACCAGUGGCGAAGGCGGCCCCCUGGACAAAGACUGACGCUCAGAUGCGAAAGCGGU